rnacentral:rRNA from 1 species
AGGACGAACGCUGGCGGCGUGCUUAACACAUGCAAGUCGAGCGGAAAGGCCCUUCGGGGUACUCGAGCGGCGAACGGGUGAGUAACACGUGAGUAAUCUGCCCAUCGCUUCAGGAUAGCCAUCGGAAACGGUGAUUAAUACUGGAUAUGACAUUCCUUCGCAUGUUGGGGUGUGGAAAGUUUUUUCGGCGGUGGAUGUGCUCGCGGCCUAUCAGCUUGUUGGUGGGGUAAUGGCCUACCAAGGCUUUGACGGGUAGCCGGCCUGAGAGGGUGACCGGCCACACUGGGGCUGAGACACGGCCCAGACUCCGUACGGGAGGCAGCAGUGGGGAAUAGUGGACAAGUGGGCGGAAGCCUGGAUCCGAGCAACGCCGCGUGAGGAUGGACGGCCGUUGGGUACGUAACCUCGUUCACGCACGAGACGUAAGUUUGUACGUUUUUGGUAG